GAUGGACCUUGGUUAGUCUGAAACACUGACCCUGUGGAUGGACCUUGGUUUGUCUGUUACACUGGCCCUAUGGAUGGACCUUGGUUAGUCUGAAACACUGACCCUGUGGAUGGACCUUGGUUAGUCUGUUACACUGGCCCUGUGGAUGGACCUUGGUUAGUCUGAAACACUGACCCUGUGGAUGGACCUUGGUUUGUCUGUUACACUGGCCCUAUGGAUGGACCUUGGUUAGUCUGAAACACUGGCCCUGUGGAUGGACCUUGGUCAGUCUGUUUUACAUGUUGGUACAUUUUUAAGGUUUAAAUUAUGUUUUUAAUGUCUCUCUCUUGGUUUUUCUCGCUCCCCCCCUCUCUAUGAAGUCAGGUGGUUUCUCUACCAUCAGUAGUCCUGUACAGUGCUUUUCUCUGUGUUGUCAUACUGUUCUGUUCACUGUUGUACUCUGCUGUGCCGCUUCAAGUUUGUGCCUUGACUUGACUGUGUGGAACUCUCCUGUCCUUAUAAGUGCUCACACUGGUAGACUGAAAUUAUAUAUUUUUCUAACGAGAUAGACACACACACACACACACACACACACACAGACAAACACACAGACACACACACACACACACACACACACACACACACACACACACACACACACACACACACACACACACACACACACACGAUAACACAGACAACAGCGGUAUUUGUGAAGGCCAUAUAGGACAUGUAGAAGCAGUCAGGUCAAAUUGUUUCUGUUCUGUACAUUGGAUACGGUGGUGUGGGUGAGUUAUGUUGUUUGUUUUGGAAGCUAUGUCCCCUGCUGCAAGAUCUUUCCCAUGCAGUGAAUAAAGCCUACUGCUGACCUGUCUCCACUUCAGCCUCGUCCAUUCUCCUGAACACUCUCACACACGGACACACCACUACCUCUGAUCGACUCUGGCAGGAAUUCCCUAGUAGCGAGUGUUGCACUUCACUGAAAGCUAAAAUAACCAUAAUCUAUCGCAGCUGGGAUUCAAAUAUUUAAAGGGCAGAUGCGAUUCCACGUCAUUAUCCAAUGAAAAUGUCAGUGAAAUGCCAACCUGUCGACAGAAAACUGUAUGUGUGUCUGUGUGUCUCUCUCUGUAUUUGUGUGUGUGUGCGUGUGUGUGUGUACUGUACCAGUCAAAAGUUUGGACACACCUACUCAUUCAAGG
ensembl:lncRNA